rnacentral:rRNA from 1 species
UACAGGGGGUGCAAACGUUGCUCGGAAUCAUUGGGCGUAAAGCGCACGUAGGCGGUUCGUUAUGUCGGAUGUGAAAGCCCUUGGCUUAACCGAGGAAGUGCAUCCGAAACUGGCAAGCUAGAGUACGAAAGAGGAUCGCGGAAUUCCCGGUGUAGAGGUGAAAUUCGUAGAUAUCGGGAGGAACACCGGUGGCGAAGGCGGCGAUCUGGGUCGAUACUGACGCUGAGGUGCGAAAGCGUGGGGAGCAAACAGG